GCAUAUCAAUAAGCGGAGGAAAAGAAACCAACAGGGAUUGCCUUAGUAGCGGCGAGUGAAGCGGCAAUAGCUCAAAUUUGAAAUCUGGCACUUUCAGUGUCCGAGUUGUAAUUUGAAGAAGGUAUCUUUGGGUCUAGCUCUUGUCUAUGUUUCUUGGAACAGAACGUCACAGAGGGUGAGAAUCCCGUGCGAUGAGAUGUCUAGAUCUAUGUAAAGUUCCUUCGAAGAGUCGAGUUGUUUGGGAAUGCAGCUCUAAGUGGGUGGUAAAUUCCAUCUAAAGCUAAAUAUUGGCGAGAGACCGAUAGCGAACAAGUACAGUGAUGGAAAGAUGAAAAGAACUUUGAAAAGAGAGUGAAAAAGUACGUGAAAUUGUUGAAAGGGAAGGGCUUGAGAUCAGACUUGGUAUUUUGUAUGUUACUCUCUCGGGGGUGGCCUCUACAGUUUACCGGGCCAGCAUCAGUUUGAGCGGUAGGAGAAUUGCGUAGGAAUGUGGCUCGGCCUCGGUCGAGUGUUAUAGCCUUCGUCGAUACUGCCAGCUUAGACUGAGGACUGCGGCUUCGGCCUAGGAUGUUGGCAUAAUGAUCUUAAGUCGCCCGUCUUGAAACACGGACC
rnacentral:sRNA from 1 species